rnacentral:rRNA from 1 species
UACGUAGGGUCCGAGCGUUGUCCGGAAUUACUGGGCGUAAAGAGCUCGUAGGUGGUUUGUCGCGUUGUUCGUGAAAACUCACAGCUUAACUGUGGGCGUGCGGGCGAUACGGGCAGACUGGAGUACUGCAGGGGAGACUGGAACUCCUGGUGUAGCGGUGGAAUGCGCAGAUAUCAGGAGGAACACCGGUGGCGAAGGCGGGUCUCUGGGCAGUAACUGACGCUGGAGGAGCGAAAGCGUGGGGAGCGAACAGG